UACGGAGGGUGCAAACGUUGCUCGGAAUCAUUGGGCGUAAAGCGCACGUAGGCGGCCUGUUAAGUCGGAUGUGAAAGCCCCGGGCUCAACCCGGGAAGUGCAUUCGAAACUGGCAGGCUUGAAUAUGGAAGAGGGUCGCGGAAUUCCCGGUGUAGAGGUGAAAUUCGUAGAUAUCGGGAGGAAUACCAGUGGCGAAGGCGGCUUCUUGGCCUGUUCUUGACGCUGAGGCGCGAAAGCUGGGGGAGCAAACGGG
rnacentral:rRNA from 1 species